rnacentral:rRNA from 1 species
CCUACGUGAGACAGCAGUGAGGAAUAUUGGUCAAUGGACGAGAGUCUGAACCAGCCAAGUAGCGUGAAGGAUGACUGCCCUAUGGGUUGUAAACUUCUUUUAUAAAGGAAUAAAACGAGGCACGUGUGCCUUUUUGCAUGUACUUUAUGAAUAAGGAUCGGCUAACUCCGUGCCAGCAGCCGCGGUAAUACGGAGGAUCCGAGCGUUAUCCGGAUUUAUUGGGUUUAAAGGGAGCGUAGAUGGGUUGUUAAGUCAGUUGUGAAAGUUUGCGGCUCAACCGUAAAAUUGCAAUUGAUACUGGCAGUCUUGAGUACAGUUGAGGUAAGCGGAAUUCGUGGGGUAGCGGUGGAAUGCUUAGAUAUCACGAAGAACCCCGAUUGCGAAGGCAGCUUACUAAACUGUGACUGACAUUGAUGCUCGAAAGUGUGGGUAUCAAACAGGAUUAGAUACCCGGGUAGUC